rnacentral:tRNA from 1 species
GCCGAAGUGGCGAAACUGGUAGACGCAGUUGAUUCAAAAUCAACCACCGAUAGGUAUGCCGGUUCGAUUCCGGCCUUCGGCACCA